ACAAGUCGAGCAGGUACGAAAGUAGGUCUUAGUGAUCCGGUGGUUCUGUAUGGAAGGGCCAUCGCUCAACGGAUAAAAGGUACUCUGGGGAUAACAGGCUGAUACCGCCCAAGAGUUCAUAUCGACGGCGGUGUUUGGCACCUCGAUGUCGGCUCAUCACAUCCUGGGGCUGAAGCCGGUCCCAAGGGUAUGGCUGUUCGCCAUUUAAAGAGGUACGUGAGCUGGGUUUAAAACGUCGUGAGACAGUUCGGUCCCUAUCUACCGUGGGCGUUGGAAAUUUGAGAGGAUCUGCUCCUAGUACGAGAGGACCAGAGUGGACGAACCUCUGGUGUUCGGGUUGUCAUGCCAAUGGCAUUGCCCGGUAGCUACGUUCGGAUGGGAUAACCGCUGAAAGCAUCUAA
rnacentral:rRNA from 16 species